rnacentral:rRNA from 1 species
CGGCGGACGGGUGAGUAAUGUCUGGGAAACUGCCUGAUGGAGGGGGAUAACUACUGGAAACGGUAGCUAAUACCGCAUAAUGUCGCAAGACCAAAGUGGGGGACCUUCGGGCCUCAUGCCAUCAGAUGUGCCCAGAUGGGAUUAGCUAGUAGGUGGGGUAACGGCUCACCUAGGCGACGAUCCCUAGCUGGUCUGAGAGGAUGACCAGCCACACUGGAACUGAGACACGGUCCAGACUCCUACGGGAGGCA